CCUACGGGAGGCUGCAGUGGGGAAUAUUGCACAAUGGGCGCAAGCCUGAUGCAGCCAUGCCGCGUGUGUGAAGAAGGCCUUCGGGUUGUAAAGCACUUUCAGCGGGGAGGAAGGCGUUAAGGUUAAUAACCUUGUCGAUUGACGUUACCCGCAGAAGAAGCACCGGCUAACUCCGUGCCAGCAGCCGCGGUAAUACGGAGGGUGCAAGCGUUAAUCGGAAUUACUGGGCGUAAAGCGCACGCAGGCGGUCUGUCAAGUCGGAUGUGAAAUCCCCGGGCUCAACCUGGGAACUGCAUUCGAAACUGGCAGGCUAGAGGGUAGGAGAGGGGGGUAGAAGUCCAGGUGUAGCGGUGAAAUGCGUAGAGAUCUGGAGGAAUACCGGUGGCGAAGGCGGCCCCCUGGACAAAGACUGACGCUCAGGUGCGAAAGCGUGGGGAGCAAACAGGAUUAGAUACCCCAGUAGGC
rnacentral:rRNA from 1 species